UACUGACGCGCUAUCCUGCAUUCCACGCUGCGAUGGACAACGAGAAGACCAAAGGCCACGCAACCUAGGGUCCAGGCAAGGCCCAGAUACGCCUGGAGCAGAAUCACCGUGUCGCCCAGACCUUCUUCCUCAGCCUGAUGUGCCUGGAAAUUAAUUAGAUCAAUCAGAGGAACGUAGUGGAGUUUGAAGGUCGAAGUGAAGAAUCGCUCUGCGCUGGGGAUGAUACAGGGACGCGCUUCGAUAAAAAGUGCCCAAAAUAAAAGUGAGGAAAACCACGCCUGUCACCGCCUGAAGACCCAAGCGCCAACCAAUCUUGCUGGAAGGAGAAGCAAGUGAAAAUUUUACUGUUUUCAUCUCGGAUUGUUGCAGUGAAAAAUCGCAAUUAAUUCAUAUUUCUAAUAGGAUUAAACGAGAGGUUUGGGCCAACUCACCAACAACAGUCCCGUAGCUGAAGAACAGCUGAUGGAACUGCGAUGCGAACGAAGUGAAGAGACAACCAAGCGCAGUAACGAGUCCACCCAAAACUGCAGUGAGCCUGGUGCUCUUUCUUCGAC